AACGAACGCUGGCGGCAGGCCUAAAACAUGCAAGUCGAACGACGUAGCAAUACAUAGUGGCGCACGGGUGCGUAACGCGUGGGAAUAUGCCCUUCACUACGGAACAACGUCGGGAAACUGACGCUAAUACCGUAUAAUGACUCCGGUCCAAAGAUUUAUCGGUGAAGGAUUAGCCCGCGUCUGAUUAGGUAGUUGGUGAGGUAACGGCUCACCAAGCCGACGAUCAGUAGCUGGUCUGAGAGGAUGAUCAGCCACACUGGAACUGAGACACGGUCCAGACUCCUACGGGAGGCAGCAGUUAGGAAUAUUGGACAAUGGGGGAAACCCUGAUCCAGCCAUGCCGCGUGAGUGAAGAAGGCCUUAGGGUUGUAAAGCUCUUUCGUCUGUGAAGAUAAUGACAGUAGCAGAAGAAGAAGCCCCGGCUAAAUUCGUGCCAGCAGCCGCCGUAA
rnacentral:rRNA from 1 species